rnacentral:rRNA from 1 species
AGUGAACGCUGGCGGCAGGCCUAACACAUGCAAGUCGAACGGCAGCACAGAGGAGCUUGCUCCUUGGGUGGCGAGUGGCGGACGGGUGAGGAAUGCGUCGGAAUCUGCCUUUUUGUGGGGGAUAACGUAGGGAAACUUACGCUAAUACCGCAUACGACCUACGGGUGAAAGUGGGGGACCGCAAGGCCUCACGCAGAAAGAUGAGCCGACGCCGGAUUAGCUAGUUGGCGGGGUAAAGGCCCACCAAGGCGACGAUCCGUAGCUGGUCUGAGAGGAUGAUCAGCCACACUGGGACUGAGACACGGCCCAGACUCCUACGGGAGGCAGCAGUGGGGAAUAUUGGACAAUGGGCGCAAGCCUGAUCCAGCCAUGCCGCGUGUGUGAAGAAGGCCUUCGGGUUGUAAAGCACUUUUGUCCGGAAAGAAAUCCUUUCGAUUAAUACUCGGGAGGGAUGACGGUACCGGAAGAAUAAGCACCGGCUAACUUCGUGCCAGCAGCCGCAGUAAAAC